rnacentral:pre_miRNA from 1 species
AGCCUUCUGUAUCCGGGCUGAGAUUUCGUCAGCCAUCAACCCAUUAUGGCUGAUGCAUCUCCUCAAAUAAAUGAACUG